rnacentral:lncRNA from 10 species
GGAAUGGCAGAUGCAAGGCAAUAGGAAGGUCCAUGCUUAGGGUUGUGGGGAGAUACAGGUUCCCACACCUCUUCUCACCUAGAUCCUCCAUAAGAGCAGAAUUUACUGAUAAAUUGUUUUGAUUUUAGGAUACUGACUGCAGACCUGGGACUAGGGUAAUGUAAGUGAGGCUCACAGGGUGCAACAUUUCCAGAAGCACCCACUCGCAGGUGCUGACCCUGCAGGUGUCACAAAUCUGAGAAUCCAUGCCUCUGUAAAAUUUUCACCUGAAGGGCCUUGCUCGCCUCACCCUCACCUUGCCCUGUGGAGUGCUCAAUUUGACUAUUAAAUGGGAGCAACAGUUGUUGAAACGUUAUCUACCUGUGGGCAUCUCUGCUCUCUCCUUCCAUUCUUUAUGACAAAAGACCCUCUAGAAGUCUCUCUCUCUCUCUCUCUCUGUGUCUCUGUGUGUGUAUGUGUUUUCUCUGUGUGUGUGUGUGUGUGUGCGUGCAUGUGUGUGUGUCCUUCUACACUUUUGCAACUCUUCUGUGGUUUGAUAAGAAAACUGAGAAUUGGAGAGCCCCUCUAGUCUAUUAGUUGGGCCAUUUAUGUUCAGUUUACUAAGACUUUGGGGCAUCAAUCUAGCUCAGAAAACUCCAGACCUUUGUUUAUCUUUUCUCCUUCAUCUUCAAGCAUGAAUUUUCCCAGAUAUCUCAUAGAGGGGUUGUUGAGAAACGGGGUAGGAUUCAGACAUUCCUGCAAUCCCAGUUUCUUACUAGAGAGUUCCACAUUUAGAGAUAUUUGGGGUUUCUCUGGUUAUUUAUGGUGUUAGUUUAUUUUCUAUAUAGUUAAUGCUCCCUGGAGCAUGGUUUCCACAGCAGAAAACUCUGAGAGGAGGACAGCUGAGUGGCUGGGUUGCCACAAUACCACCAGGGCUGGGGUAGGCUCCUGCAACUUUUAAAUCUUCACUUUCCUCCUCUAUAAAAUGAGAAUGACACUAAUUUCUACUCUGUAGAAUGAAUGAGAAGAUUACAUUAACAAAUUCAUGUGAGUAUUUCAAAAAAGACUAUGCAAAUAUUAUUAACCUCUUGAUUGAGUUUUAAGAAGCAUAUAGGAAACAAUAUUUUUUGGAUCAAAAAGGCUCAGAAAUCUUAAGUGCCAUUUCAAAGCCCCACAUUCUGUAGGUUCUGGAGUAAGGCUUGGUCUGGAGUGCUCAGCUCGCUUUCUUUCCUUCCCAUCACGCUGCCUCUCAGAUAUGUAGCACAGAUAACUCAUUGUUUAUGUUCUUUUAAAUUUGAAUGGCAUCUCCUCCACCCUCCAUUUACUUUUCCUCAUUAUAUCAAGACAUCUCUUCAGAUUCAGUCCCUUGGAACCUAGUGUCUUCAGUAAAAUUAUUAUUGAUUGGCUUCUUGCAGAGUAGGAGGGGAGGCAACCUCUGAAGCAAAGCAGGCUCUUCCUAUUUGCAUUUCAGGUGGGUCAGCAAAAUGUGGCACUACAGUUGUGCCUGCACUGACUGAAAUAAAACAUGUUGGAAGGCACAGUGCCUCUUUAGAAGAAUUGGAUCCACAUUCAGUUCAAGCCAGGAAACUCUCCAUGGACUAACAGUCCCCCUGACCACCCAAGUAAAAACUUCCCUGGGAAAACAAAAAUCUACCUUUGAAAUGCCUCAUGCAUAGACACUGCCAUUCCCAGCCUCUGCACUGCUCAGCUUCUCCAGCUGCAUGGAAGCCCUUGACACUUCAAUGGAGACUUCCUCCUACUGUUUCCAAUGUUAAUCCUCAACAGAGGCCAGAGAGAGCUCAUAGGCUCUAAUGCCCUGGGAUAAAGCAUCAAGUGCUCACUCCUACAGGCCCAACUUUGCCACACUUCUGACUUCCAGGAUGUUCCCUCAACCCUGUGUCUAUCCUCCAGCCCAGAAUCUAACCUUGGGCCUCUGAAAAUGGGGUAUUGACUUGUUCUUCUCAAAUGACCUUCAUAGGUGGCAGAUCACCCUGCCUCACAUUUCCAGACCCUUUCGCUACAUGUUUUAGGAUCCUCAUCUCACAGUCAAUAAGCUACCCUAAUUGUUUGUUCAUUCACUCUUCUAUUAAUAUUUUAAGUGUCUUUCAUGAGCCAGACUCUGCCAUGCAUUGGGGACUAAUGGAGAACAACACUAGUCUUAUGAAGCUGUAGCUUCUUAAAGUUGACAGAUGUUCACUUAUUGACAACAAAUAUUUAUUAAGCACCCUCUAUGUAAUAGGGAUUUUUUUUUUUUUUUGCCAGAGCCACCACACCUGGCCAUAACAGGGAUGAUUCUUAAAAUGAAGGAUACAGUAGAGAAUGAGGAGAUACAGUCCCUGACUUCUACAGCUUACAUCGUACUGGGGUAGGUUGGGGAGGUAUGCAACAGACACAAAAUAAUGAUGUGCCAGGUGGUAGGAUAUGACAAGGGGAAAAUUAAAGCAGAAAAAUGGGAAAAGGAGCAAUGAGGGGGAUGAUUUUAGGCAGGAUGAUCAGGGAUGUUUUCUUUGAUAAAGUGACGUUUGAACUGAGACUUGAAGGAAACUGGAAAGAAAGUUGUGUGGAUAUCUGGGAACAGGAUAUUCUAAGAAGGAACAGCAAGGAUAUAAACCUGAAGGUAAGAUUAUGUUUAAAGUGUUUGAGAAGCAAGAAAGAGAGCAGUGCACUGGAGUGGAGAGAAAAAGGGAAGUGACAUCAGACAAGGUAUGGGAGCAGAGAGCGGUGGGCAGCUUUGAGUAGAGCCCUGUGUGCCCUGGUGAAGAUUUUCAAUUUUACUCUGAGUGAGAUGAUAAUAUACUAGAAAGUUCUGGACAGAGGAGUCACGUGGUCUGACUUAGGUGUUAAAAGAUUUGCUUUGUCUAGCAUAUGGAGACCAGACUGUAUGAGGCCAGCGGGAAGCAGCAAUAUCAUUAGAAAGGCCUCUGUGAUGAUUUUCCAUGUAAGAAGUAGGUGGUUUGGACCAGGCUGCUGACAGCAAUGUUGGUUAAGAUAUUCUGAAGGUUAAGCAGUCACAUAUACAGAAAGAUCAAAUUCUGAGUGUAAGAGGAAGAGAGAACUCAAAGAUGACUCCAAAGCUUUCAUAUGAACCUCAGAAUGAAUGAGGUUGUCCCUUACUGACAUGAAUCAAAGAAUUUCUCAAUGGAGGCUAAAAUUACAAAUCUGGAUGAGUGCUAAUGUUGAAAGAUGCUGGACCCUGUAACUUUCCAAUUUCAUAUCCUCCACUGUCCCUUUUGUUUUCUAUUCUCCUGCUAACCACGUCCCCUCUCCCCACAAAGACCUUGCACAGGAUGCCUCUUGUUAAGGAUUUGGAUGUGAUCUAAGAAUGAUUAAAAGCAAGCAUUACAUUAUACAACACAGUGAGAUAAAUAGAUUUAUGAUUUGGAAGCUCACUUUGUCUAUAGGUUGGAUAACAGAUUUGGGAGGAGUAGUGUAAAUGAGGGGAACUAGCUAGGAAAUGACUGUAGAGAUCAGGAAUGAGAAGACAGUGGCUUGGACCAGGGUGUCAUCACAUUAGAUAGGCCAAUAUUGCAGGGCCAUUCUAGAAGCACUAAUUUCUAUGAUCUUCCUUAGUACCUAGUUGUCAUAUAGGCAUGGCGGUAGUUGGUAAAUCAGAAAAGGCUGAAUUGAGCUGUGGUAGGAGAAAGACAGGAGGCAACAGCAGGUAUAGAUUAAGUAGAGGAGGAAGUUAAAUGUGGUUUUCUGGGUGGGGCCCUCAGGAAGCUAUGAGCUAUUUCCAGGAAGAGCUGGCACAUUUCUUUGAUGGCCUAGUGGUUUUUAUAUUUUUCUGCCUGAAGUUCACCACUUUCUACCCAUGUACUCCUCUCCUGUUUUCAUGACCCUCCUUAUUUCAGGACCACUUGAAACCCUUCAUUUCUGCCCAACUUCUGGAUGUUCUUCCCUAUACUCUAUUAGACCUCCAAACAGCUUGAGAAGGAGAUAUUAUUGCACAAUGUUUAAGAGCCCUGGCUUCUGAGUUGGACUGGCUUGGAU